UACGUAGGGUGCGAGCGUUAAUCGGAAUUACUGGCGUAAAGCGUGCGCAGGCGGUUUUUGUAAGACAGGCGUGAAAUCCCCCGAGCUCAACUUGGGGAAUUGCGCUUGUGACUGCAAGGCUAGAGUGUGUCAGAGGGGGUAGAAUUCCACGUGUAGCAGUGAAAAUGCGUAGAGAUGUGGAGGAAUACCGAUGGCGAAGGCAGCCCCUGGGAUAACACUGACGCUCAUGCACGAAAAGCGUGGGGGAG
rnacentral:rRNA from 1 species